CAUACCAUGCAGUCGACGGUAACAGGAAGCAGCUUGCUGCUUCGCUGACAAGUGGCGGACGGGUGAAUAAUGUCUGGGAAACUGCCUGAUGGAGGGGGAUAACUACUGGAAACGGUAGCUAAUACCGCAUAACGUCGCAAGACCAAAGAGGGGGACCUUCGGGCCUCUUGCCAUCGGAUGUGCCCAGAUGGGAUUAGCUAGUAGGGGGGGUAACGGCUCACCUAGGCGACGAUCCCUAGCUGGUCUGAGAGGAUGACCAGCCACACUGGAACUGAGACACGGUCCAGACUCCUACGGGAGGCAGCAGUGGGGAAUAUUGCACAAUGGGCCCAAGCCUGAUGCAGCCAUGCCGCGUGUAUGAAGAAGGCCUUCGGGUUGUAAAGUACUUUCAGCGGGGAGGAAGGCGAUAAGGUUAAUAACCUUGUCUAUUGACUUUACCCGCAAAAAAAGCACCGGCUAACUCCGUGCCAGCAGCCGCGGUAAUACGGAGGGUGCAACCGUUAAUCGGAAUUUACUGGGCGUAAAGCGCACGCAGGGCGGUUCUGUCAAGUCGGAUGUGAAAUCCCCCGGGCCUCAACCUGGAAACUGCAUUCAAAAACUGGCAGGCUAGAGUCCUUGUAAAGGGGGGUAAAAAUUCCAGGUGUAGCGGUGAAAUGCGAAAACAUCUGGGAGGAAUACGGGUGGCGAAGGGCGCCCCCCUGAACAAAGACUGACCCUCAGGGUGCAAAGCGUGGGGGAGCA
rnacentral:rRNA from 1 species